GUUUUUGUAGUUGAACUACAACGGUGGUUUUUCAUAUCACUGGUCAUGGUUUGAGUCCAUGCAAGAAUU
rnacentral:tRNA from 2 species